AUUGAACGCUGGCGGCAUGCCUUACACAUGCAAGUCGAACGGCAGCACGGGUGCUUGCACCUGGUGGCGAGUGGCGAACGGGUGAGUAAUACAUCGGAACGUACCUUAUCGUGGGGGAUAACGCAGCGAAAGCUGUGCUAAUGCCGCAUACGCCCUGAGGGGGAAAGCGGGGGAUCGAAAGACCUCGCGCGAUUAGAGCGGCCGAUGCCUGAUUAGCUUGUUGGUGGGGUAAAAGCCCACCAAGGCGACGAUCAGUAGCUGGGCUGAGAGGACGCUCAGCCACACUGGGACUGAGACACGGCCCAGACUCCUACGGGAGGCAGCAGUGGGGAAUUUUGGACAAUGGGGGCAACCCUGAUCCAGCAAUGCCGCGUGAGUGAAGAAGGCCUUCGGGUUGUAAAGCUCUUUUGUCAGGGAAGAAACACCGGCUCUAACACAGUCCGGGAAUGACGGUACCUGAAGAAUAAGCACCGGCUAACUACGUGCCAGCCGCCGCCGUAA
rnacentral:rRNA from 1 species